UUGGGGGUGCUGGUCAAUGAGAAAUGAACAUGAGCCGGCAGUGUGUGCUUGCAGCCCAGAAAGCCAACCGUAUCCUGGGCUGCAUCAAAAGGAGCGAGGUGAUCCUGCCCCUCUACUCUGCUCUCGUGAGACCUCACUUGGAGUAUUGUGUGCAUUCUGGUGUCCUCAACACAAAAAGGACAUGGAACUGUUGGAACAAGUCCAGAGGAGGGCCAUGAGGAUGAUGAGGGGACUGGAGCACCUCCUGUAUGAAGAAGGCUGAGGAAGUUGGAGCUGUUCAGCCUGGAGAAGAGAAGGCUGCGUGGAGACCUCAUAGCAGCCUUGCAGUAUCUGAAGGGGGCCUAUAGGGAUGCUGGAGAGGGACUCUUCAUUAUGGACUGUAGUGAUAGGAGAAGGGGUAACGGGUUAAAACUUAAACAGGGGAAGUUUAGAUUGGCUAUAAGAAGGAAAUUCUUUACUGUGAGGGUGGUGAGGCAC